UGCGUGUGGAGUCCUGUCUGUGCCCCUCAACAAUAAUAUUUAACUAUUAAUCACAUUUUUGCUAAAUAAAAGGAUCCGGCUUGCAUCAGUCACAUGAUCACCAUUAACCAAUGAUCGCCCUUGACGGCAGAACGCGCUGGUUACGAGCCGGGAACGAGCUCACAAAGAGCACGCGCAUUUUUUGCGGUCCGGAGCUGUAGGAGAAACACAAAUUAACUCAGAGACACAGACUGAUGCGACAAAACCAACAUGGUUGGUAAGGACAUGAGGAGGAAACAGUAGGAGCUGUGUGAGGCUACUAAAGGCAGUGGAUCCCUCAGCAGCUGGAUUACAAAGAGCACAGUCUCAGAUCAACACAGCCCUGCCCUCCAGCACUAUCAGCAGCAGGAGCAGCAGCAACCCCUCAACAGCAACAUUGUACCCAUCAGCUUUGAGCACCCGCCCCUAUAAACGUCUCUGCACGGCCCUGCCUGGCUACACAGUUCUGCAUAAAGGUGUUGACCAACAGCGAAAUAUUUCUAACAUGGCUACUGUCAAUCCCCUGGAGGCAUGAAGUACACUCUGAAGAUCAUAGUGAGAGGCUGCAGGGAGACAGACCCAUGAGCUGAAACCCACAGAGAGCUGGUGACAUGUUCCACCCAAAUGACUUUGAGGAUGGAGUGGAUGGUUUGAAGUGAAGAAGCACGGUCACUGGAUUAUCACAAGUGAACGGAGUCACACUACUACUGGGAUUCGGGAGAAGAGUACUAUUUGGACUUUGCACCUUUUUUCAUGUUGGGAACUGUAAAUAAAACCGACUAUCUCCAGUCAUCUAGAGCUCCGUCUGAGUCCUCUCUUCCCGCUAACCGUGACAUAGACAGACACACAGUUGAAAACUCUGUCAUGAAUUGGCCUCCGCAGAGCCCAGAGCUCAUCUUACUGAAGCAGUUUAAAUUCUCCUGAUGGAGAGCAGAGCAAAAGACAGCCAGCAUCCAAAGAAGACCUUUGGAACGUCCUUCAAGAAAUUACAAGAACACAUGUCUAAGACAGUUCAGGUUUUGCAGAAAAAUAAAGGUGGCCAUGCCGAUUACUUAUUCAUUGUGAACUAUGUUUUUGUUUUCAUGCUGUAUUUCGAUGUAUCUUUCCAAAUUUCAAUCACUUGCUGCACAAAUUUGCCAUUUUUUCAGUUUCACAGUGAUCUUUAUGCUCCUUUUUAACAAUACAAAACCACAAAAAUAGCAAGUGCGUUAUUAUCAUUGACAGCAUGUACAUUUUAAUUUAUAUUACUACAGGGGAAAUAACAUAUUUAAUGCCUGAGCGUGUGUCUGGCAUAAUAGUAAAAGAUUAAAAAAAAUAUGCUGAAAUAGAUGUGUUUAGGUGAUAUGUGUUUAUACAUCCAUUUGUCACUUAGAACAACAUGUUGCAAUGCAUCGUAGUCUGUUUUGUAAAGGAAACACUGUAAUUAAGAAUAUAAGUCAUUCAAACGUUCUUUGAAGAUAUAAACCCGAUCGAAAUGCUGUGUUUCAUUUCUAAUCAAUAGCAAACAGCUUAUCAGUGUUCACAAGAAGCUGAAAACAACACCUGUAUUCAGUGAUAACAACAGUCAGUGUAACCGAUUCAGUUGGAUUUGGUUUAAAAAGACCAUAAGUAUACCUUUGUUUGAACUUAAUAUUUAUAAAUAUCACUGGUGUGGAAGGAUCUGAUCUUUUGCUGUCAUUUGUUUAAGCUUUAUUAGUUCUUCAUUAUAAGAGUAUGUAUCACCACUUUACCUAGCUCUAUUAGUGGAAAUGUAUGUAUAUUUAUGUAUAGUUUUG
ensembl:lncRNA